rnacentral:lncRNA from 1 species
AUAGGCAGCAUUUCUGUCUGUAUCAAGUCAGGUCAAAAGUCGGCUCGGUCCCUGUGGUUUCUGUCAGUUGUCAAUCCCCAGCAGGGCCAAAAUAAGCGAUUCAAAAGAAGUGAUGGGAAAACUUCAUUUCAAAAAGAUAAAUGGAACUUGCCUAAGACUGAGAAAUUUGAAUCCAAAGGGACCAGACUAAAAUUAAAUUCAGUGUGAGAUUCUCUGGCCUGAAGAUCAUCAGAGGGAAUUUCACAAUUACCAAAUCUGGGAACAGAACUUCCAUGCUGCCUUAACUGUCAUAACUGUUCGAAGUUAUGGCAACACAGAAACAGGCUCAGGAUCUGCUGGAUCAUUUUGAGAAGACUUUGGGGAGAGUGGCAAGAUGACUGACCUAAAGGUGAAGAGCAAAUCAACCCCCACCCACAGCUUGCUCCCUUCCUUAAUGUCUGCUUCCAUAGGGAGGUAGUGUGCAGAUUCUCCUCCUUCCUUGUCUCCUUACAAGCCUGGAUCACAGGGCCCACAAAAAGGCUAUGACCCUUGACCUUUAAUGACAAGUGUGAGAAGUUUGCCUCCCUCUCUCUUUAGGCUGCUUUCACAGUACAGACUCCAUAGUGCCAGCGUUUGAGAAACACUUUGGGAAAUUAAUGCAGACCUUUUGGGCUCUGGGGAUGAAGAUAUCCUAGCCCUCUGAGGGUGAUAAAGUCUGUAGACAAAGGGAGAGACAGAAAGAGAUUUCUGGGUCCAUUUCUCUCAAGACCUGUUUCCUCUUCUUUGGGGAGGUUGUUCCCCAGAGCACAGUUAGGGCUUUCAGAUAGCUUCCUCUGGAUCUCAGGCCAGGGCAGGUGGACUUCAUUGGAAGACGCAGAGAAAUCUAUCUUCUUGGUAGGCUACAAUCUGUACAGUCUGUAACGCACCCACCCUGCAUGAUGCCUGAGGUUGAUGUGGAAAUGGGAUGCUUAUGGAAAUAAAUUUUCCAUUGGAAUCCAUAUGAGAAAUGACUCCUAUGAACAAUGUAUGAAAAUGAAAUUUGCAAAUAAAGCAUUCCCC